rnacentral:rRNA from 1 species
AGUCACGAGUUUGAUCCUGGCUCAGGAUGAACGCUAGCGGCAGGCCUAACACAUGCAAGUCGAGGGGUAGAGUUCUUCGAGACUUGAGACCGGCGCACGGGUGCGUAACGCGUAUGCAAUCUACCUUAUACAGGGGAAUAGCCCAGAGAAAUUUGGAUUAAUGCCCCAUAGUGUUAUUGAAUCGCAUGGUUUAGUAACUAAAGUUCCAACGGUAUAAGAUGAGCAUGCGUCCCAUUAGUUAGUUGGUAAGGUAACGGCUUACCAAGACGAUGAUGGGUAGGGGUCCUGAGAGGGAGAUCCCCCACACUGGUACUGAGACACGGACCAGACUCCUACGGGAGGCAGCAGUGAGGAAUAUUGGUCAAUGGGCGCAAGCCUGAACCAGCCAUGCCGCGUGCAGGAAGACGGUCCUAUGGAUUGUAAACUGCUUUUAUACAGGAAGAAACCCUCCCACGUGUGGGAGAUUGACGGUACUGUAGGAAUAAGGAUCGGCUAACUCCGUG